CUUGUUUGGUUGAAGACCUCGGCUGAUAUACGAUAGAACUGGAAAGAGAUUUUACAAACAACAGAGAUGUUGCACACCACAACAAUCAGUACCUGCUGGUUUAAUAUGCACUUAGGGAGAUACGAAUGGUGAUUCCAAAGGCGUAUACAUAUAUCAGGAAAAGCAGACAAGGCAGUUGGAGAAGGAAAAUAAGGUUACUCUUCAACACUUUGUGGUUCUCCAUGGCAUUUCUGUCCUGCUUGGGCACAACAGUGGGAGGAAAGGUCACCCAGAUCCAGUCUGCAUCCAGAUCAGAUGGUCACUGCAGCCACCCAGAUCCAGUCCGUAUCCAGUCCAGACAGUGGAUCAGGACCUAGAGAUGACCUCUACAGCCCUGAAUGUCCGCGGAGACUACAUCAACUAGAGGAGCCCUAGAAACAGAUCCCCGUCGGCACAAGACCACGGAAACCUGAUGAGUCCUGAUGAGACUUUGCUGCAGCCUGGAAUCAAACUGCUGGUUUGUGUUGCCAGAAGAGAACUGGCCCCCUGACUGAGCCUGGUUUUUCCCAAGGUUUUUUUUUCCUCAAUUUCUGUCACCAGUGUAGUUUUGGUUCCUUGCCGCUGUCGUCUCUGGCUUGCUUAGUUGGGGACAUUUAAGUUCCAGUGAUAUCGUCAACUUGAUUGCACAGAUACUAUCUGAACUGAACUGAGCUGGAUGACAACACUGAAUUCAAUGAUGAACUGCCUUUAACUGAUAAUUGAGUGUUGCUGUAUUGCUCGAAAUAUUCUUAAAUGUUCUUAACAUUUAUUUAUUUAUUUUCCUGAUUCAUGAAGCAUUGGUUAGCAUUGUUAAUGAACAUCUAUUAAAAUUACAAUGCUGAUUUACA